rnacentral:rRNA from 1 species
GGGGGAUAUUGCACAAUGGAGGAAACUCUGAUGCAGCAACGCCGCGUGAGGGAAGAAGGUCUUCGGAUUGUAAACCUUAGUAGUCAGGGACGAAGAAAUGACGGUACCUGAAGAGUAAGCUCCGGCUAACUACGUGCCAGCAGCCGCGGUAAUACGUAGGGAGCGAGCGUUGUCCGGAAUUACUGGGUGUAAAGGGUGCGUAGGCGGGACUGCAAGUCAGGCGUGAAAUACCGGAGCUUAACUCCGGGGCUGCGCUUGAAACUGUGGUUCUUGAGUGAAGUAGAGGUAGGCGGAAUUCCUAGUGUAGCGGUGAAAUGCGUAGAUAUUAGGAGGAACACCAGUGGCGAAGGCGGCCUACUGGGCUUUAACUGACGCUGAGGCACGAAAGCAUGGGGAGCAAAC